rnacentral:rRNA from 1 species
ACGCUCGACACCUACGGGAGCAGCAGUCGGGAAUAUUGCGCAAUGGAGGAAACUCUGACGCAGUGACGCCGCGUAUAGGAAGAAGGUUUUCGGAUUGUAAACUAUUGUCGUUAGGGAAGAGAAAGGACAGUACCUAAGGAGGAAGCUCCGGCUAACUACGUGCCAGCAGCCGUGGUAAUCUGAGCGGGCUGGCAAGGC